rnacentral:lncRNA from 1 species
CAGGAAACAAUUUCACAACCAAUCACUUACAUAAACCAACGAAGUUACAAAUGAAGGCCUACAGCCGAAAGUCUACAAAAGACCGGCUCUUAAAAAGGAAUUGUCCUACGACCUACAAGUCGGACACGUUCUCCAAUCUUAUGCCUUCACCUCUGCAACUCCUCAAGGCCAACCAAAGCUAUCUGGCCACUCCGUCCAUCAGGGACCUGAAAUUUUAAUCCCACAACCGGGAUGAGACGAUGUCUCAGCAAGUUCAACCCCCUAAACCCCUAUUAGAAAGAAAAUACACCCCGGGUGGCCUAGCCACGUCACUCAGAAGACUUACCUCGUCUUAAUUCCUUCCUGCAGAUUAGCACAAUUUAUAUCACAAAAUCUCGGGUAGUAAUAAUAAUUCAAACAAUUGGAAAGCCAUCACUUUCAUAUAAAUCAUAAUCGCACUUAGCACGCAUUCCAAUUAUUAUUCAUUGCCACACGACGGCAUAGCCUACUCGCGGGUCGACUAUCUACUAACAUUACGGCAUUUCUAAAAGAAUAAAGGUCCAGUCGGUCUCGCCACUACUGCGACCAAGCCACGUCGUUCUAUCGACAGCAUUUCUAGAGAAAUAAAGGUCCAGUCGGUCUCGCCACUACUGCGACCAAGCCACGUCGUUCUAUCGACAGCAUUUCUAGAGAAAUAAAGGUCCAGUCGGUCUCGCCACUACUGCGACCAAGCCACGUCGUUCUAUCGACAGCAUUUCUAGAAAAAUAAAGGUCCAGUCGGUCUCGCCACUACUGCGACCAAGCCACGUCAUUCUCUUGACAGCAUUUCUAGAAGAAUAAGGAUCCAGUCGGCUUAGCCACUACUGCGACCCGAGCCACGUCACUCUCUUGACGGCAUUUCUAGAAGAAUAAGGAUCCAGUCGGCCUAGCCACUGCUGCGACCCGAGCCACGUCACUCUCUUGACGGCAUUUCUAGAAGAAUAAGGAUCCAGUCGUCCUAGCCACUACUGCGACCCGAGUCUUUCAACCAGCACACAACAAUUCAAUAAUCAAAUGCACAAAUCAUCACUCAAUUUGUAAUAUCUAAUCAUCAAAUUCAUAAUCUGAAUACACUGCAGCGAUCAGCACAAAAUUCUGAGAAUUUAGGGUCCCAAAAUAAUUUUCGGAAUUUAUUUAAUAAUUAAGUUUAUUUCGAAAAUUAAUUAAAUAAUAAUAUCCUUAUCCUUCACAAUCCACACUCGAUUUAUAAUCUCCAAUCAUCAAUUUCAAAAUCUGACUACACAGCAGCGACCGGUACGAAAUUCUGAGCAAUCGAGGUUAAAAUUAAUUUUUUUUCCGUUUUUAUUUAUUUAUAAUAAUAUUUUAAUAAUUUCGGAAUAUAAUAUAAUAUUAUAAAUUCCAGAAUUCGAAAUCAUUAAUUAAUUCAAAAAUAAAACCCCAUUAUGUCACAUCAAGGCUUUAUAUUAAAAAUAAACAUACUUAACUUUAAAUUAACCACACUUUAACUUAAUUAAACACCUUAAUCUAAUCAUCAACCAAAUAAACUAAUCUAACCACCUAAACUUACUUAACUUAGACUAAGCACACUUAGGGCAUCAUUAACCGUCUAAUCAAGGUUUAGUGAGUUAAACUCACCGGAUUAGCGAACCGAGUGAACCAAAACGACGAGGACGACGCGAGGAUCGACUUUCCUCAAGGCGGGCCGAGCAUCCGGGCUCGGGAAGGCAGCCAAAACGGGCCAAACGUUCGCUGCAUACCCAUUUUUUCCAGCUGCUGCCCAUGGCGGUUUGAGGCCGAGGAAGGGUAGAUCCGGCGCCGGUUCGGGUCGGAACGGGCAGAGGAGAACCGGCGGGGCUUGGACAGGCCGGUGGGGAGGUCAACGGCGGCUCACGGCGGCGAGGAUGAGCUCCGGCAGCUCGGGACGACGGACGAUGGCUGCUGGUGCGCGAACGAAGCAAGGAUGGGAGGGGCGAAGCAGCUCGCGGGGGCUGCGACGGCGAGCGGGCGGAGGUGCGGCCGGCGACGAGCGGGCGGGCGGACGGCCAUGGCUGCUCCAGCUUCUCCUCUGCAAUUUCUGGGUUUGAAAAGCACCAACAAGAGGAAGAAGAAGCUGUUCGAACAGUAGCAAGAGGGGAGAGAGGAAGGCGGAGGACGCGCAGCCAAGGCGGAGCGACGACGGCCUGCGGCGGCGGUGAACGGCUAGCUUCCGUCGGGCUGCUGCACGCACGAGCUCCCCCCCUCCUUUCCGCCGAUUCAAGCAUGAAGAAGAUGAAGAUGGAGUCGCACGAGAGAGAGGAAGAAGAGAGGGAGGAGAGAGAAGAAGGAGAGAGAGAGAGAGAUGGGACCAUUCCCUUUUCUUUUUCUUUUUCUUUAAUCCACAAAAAUGGCCCACCACCAUGACAUCAUCCCAUGUCAUUUUCCACUCACUCAAACCCCCCCCCCACAACUUCUCCAAUGGUUGCACUUUCAUUUUCCGCCGGGGUCCAAUUCUUGUACAACCAAUUCUCCAAUUCCACUUGAUUCUCUUCCAAUUGAAUCAAAUUGAAGUCCAUAAAAUUAAUCCAAUGUCACCACACUUCAAUUCACAUAAUCACUUGACCAUAAAACCAACUUAAGUCCCAAAAGUACGACCAAAAGCGGGCCCACUAAUUUCUCGAGCCAAAUUAGCCAUUUUCUGAUUUAAUUGCUGAAAAACUCUGAUUGCAUGAAAAAUCUUCCAAAGAUAAGUCAAUGUUCCUAAAAAGAUUUGUGACACACCCAGACUUCCAAUUUCUGAAUUCGAUCUCAAUUCCACGGUUAAUUUCACUUUGGCACGAUACUAGCGCGGCCCAACCUACCGGGUAGCCUUUAGAAAUUUUCAUGCAUUUGACUUGUGUUGAUCAUCUCAAGCCACAAUGUACAUCUUUGAAACAUUGGCGACUUUCGGUUGUCGGGGUAAUCUCAAGGUUUCAAAUACGAACACAGGGUACCCAAUCGAUAGAAAAGUCGGCCCAGUGUCGAUGGACAGGGAUUAUGCGAUCUAGUGGAAUCACCCACACUCGAUCACAUGCCUCUGUCGAGUCGACCUAUCUCCGGUCUCUAAUCGAUUUUUAUUUGUGCCGUAAUGACUCUUGCAGAUUAGCUCGGUCGAAAGGUCGCUUCCUGGCCAAAUUCUCGAGUCCGAUGCAUUAUAAUUUCUUAAUGACUUCACCCAAUAGACUCGCUUUCACAUGAGUGGCCGACUCAAGGAAAAGAACUAUAUGCAUGCCAACGAAAUGCCCGUCCCAAUUUAUUGAAAAUAGAAUUGGAAAAUCGGGAUGUCACAACUCUUCCCCUCUUAUAAAAAUUUCGUCCUCGAAAUUUAAACCUUUACCAAUUCUUAAACCAAAAGGUGGGGGUACUGUCGUCUCAUAUAAUCUUCUAUUUCUUAGGUUGCUCAUUCUGCACCAAUGCUGCCAGAUCACUGCUAUCUUGUCCAAACCACUUCGAAUUCAAAAUACUAAACGCUUGCCCACUUAAAAUUCCAAAGGCCUUCAACACAAAAUCUACGAAGCUAAAUUGGCGAUUCUGAGCAGUCUCUAAACCGUCUUUGAUAAUUGCAACUGAAUCACUGAUUUCUGAAUCAACUCUGGACCUGCGAUUUUCUGAUCUCUGAUCUCAUCUCAACCGACUGAAGUUCUGAACACUCUGCCCUACACUGAUUAAAAAGAAACUAUCUGACAGAUCUACUGAAACUAGAAACCUCUGGUCAAGAUCUGAUAUAACUCUGACACUGACACUCUAUGCAAACGAAUGAUCUGAUGUACAAACACCUAUGCAUGCUUAAUCAAAUCAAGAUCCUUCAACACAGUCACAAGGUGGCUAAUUUCAUCAGUUUGUCACUUACUACCCGAAAUGAGAUUAUUAACACACAGACUCCUCGAUAGACCUGUCACAAAAAUCUAUUGUGACGUGAUCCCACUUCCUCACGGAGAUAUCGAAAGAUUACAAAGAUCCUCUCGAAUUGCAAAACCGUGCUUUCUCUUGCUAGCACAUCUGACACUUGCGACCUGUCAGUGAUAUCUAUCUUCACAACGGUCUACUAAUCCUAUUGAUGCAAAUUCGGACUCAUCUUUGCACUGUCUGGACAAUGCUGAAGCUGCUACGACAAGUUUCCGAUAAGAUCUCUUCUUUAAUCUCGGUAUCAUCAAUUACAUACAAUCGUCCUCAGAACCUUAGCGUUCUGCCUUCGGAAAUCUGAAAAUCAAUCUCUCUCUCAUCUGCAUUCUCUUAUAGAAUCUUCUAAAUUUCUGUAUCUGUCAACUGAAGCGAUUUGAUUCGGAUCUGUACUCUCCGCUCAAUUCUGAGGGUAGUCAUAAGAUUCAAAAGGUGGCAUACCUUAGAUUUAAAAACUGAAUUUCGGACUUCCUCAAGUAAGAUCCAAUCCUUGAGUGCCAACUGUACAACUAAGGACUCUCAACUCAGUGCAUCUGUAACUUUGCUCACCUUUCCAGAGUGAUACGAAAUAUCAUAGUCAUAAUCCUUAAUGAAUUCCAUCCAGCGAUGCUUUCUCAUUUUCAAGUCCUAAGGUCUUAACUGAUGGGACGCGCAUGCGAUAACCCCAUCAUGCCGUAUCAAAACACAACCCAAUCCUUGAAACGACGCAUAACUGCAGAUCUCAUAACUUCCAGGAUCAUAUGAAAUAGUCAGCAUAGGUGCGGUAGUUAGCUCUUGCUUAAGCUUUUGAAAACUACACUUGCAUUUACAUGUCCACACGAACUUUUCUUACUUCCUCGGUAGUCGAAUCAACUGCAACGCUGAUGCAGAAAACCCUUCCAUAAAACUUCUGUAAUAUCUUGCUAAUCCCCAAAACUUCUAAUCUCUGUCACUGCAGUCAAUAUCGGCCAACUGAUCACUACUUUAAUCUCGGACGAGGUCUACGGAGAUUUCUUCACCUGAAAUCACGUGACCUAGGAACGCAAUACGAGUCAUCCAAAACUCGCAUUUGCUAAGCUUAUUGUAAAAUCCAAAAGCACCCAAGGUCUGAAGUAUCAUCUUCUAAUGUCUCUCGUGCUCCUCAACACUCUUUGAACACACCAGGAUAAUUUCAAUGAACACGAUCAUAACUUAUUCAAGUGCCCUUAAACAGUCUGCUCAUUAAACCCAAACAAAUAGCUAUGGUGUCCAUUAAACCACACAGCAUUACAAUGAACUCAUAACUAUUGUAUCGAGCGCAAGAUGCUAACUUCGAUAUGUCUUUCUUCCUGAUUCUCAACUGAUGAUAUCCUGGUCUCUAGUCGAUCUUGAGGGAUAUCGACAUACAAACACAACGAACCAACUUUCUUUUUCAUGAAUAGAACGGGUGCUCCCCAAGGUGAUGCACUGGAACGUAUGAAUCCCCUAUCCAAUAAUUGCUGCAUCUACACCUUUAGUUCUUUUAAUUCGAGUAACACCAUCCAGUAAGGAGCCUUAGGGACUAGCUCUAUUCUGGGUGCUAAUUCAAUCACGACUAUAUUUCUCUUCCUGACAACAACUUGAUAAUUCUUCAGAAAAUACCUUAGAAAACUUAUGCACCACGAUUAUGAUCUCCAUAGCCGGCUCCUCAACUGACGCAUCCAUUACAGCUGCCAUGAAGAUCCAGUAACCAACAACCAGAAUCAAGUUAUCUUCAGUGACAAUUAACAAGGAUCGAAGUUCCUCUUCAACCUUCAGUAAUUCAAAACUUUUAUACGCUAACUGAACAAACCGAAUUAUGUCACUGCCACGAUUCAUAACAGCGGAAAGCUCCUCGAGCCAAACCUUUUCAUAAAUGACUUCCAAGUCAUAUAUAAGCAAACCCAUCAGGUACAAUUAUAGUCAGAGAUCUAUCUUUCUAUCACUUUAUUACCACAACAAAGAUCCUACAACCUUCAUUGAAAAUUAUGCUACACUACUCUGAUAAAAUUUCCUCAAGAACAUUUUCCCUUUGGUCGAUGCAUGGUCAGUCCAUUCUUAUUCCUUCCGCCAUCUUAGUGGCGUCCUGCCGGCGAUAGCGAUACUUGAGUCCUCUUGGACUUACACGAAUAGUCCCUAUCUCGAUGGUCGUGCUGACCACAUUCAAAGCAUGUUCUCCUUUUUACUCUGACACUAGGCUGACUCAAGCCUCUUUUCCACAAACUCGACACACUAUCAGUGAGUCCUCUACCUCUCAUCAAGUGACAUCAUGCACCCUUUCUUGCACUGGGGUCCAUUCCAAGUACCCUACUGAACAUCUUGAAGCAUGCUUCCUCUGUUCUGUCUUAUCAACGACGGUGACAGAAAUAGCUGCGACUCCAUCCUUCUAUACGGACCAUCUUUGAUCAAAUGACUGUACUGGCAACCCCUAGUAGCAAGUCCUUUCCCUUUUACAGCACAUAACAGAUCCAUAUCUUUUCCAAUAGACACGACACACAUCAAUCGGGUUGAGCACUGACUUUCUCAUUCUGCUCUUUCGGUUGGGUGAAACAAGACACCUUUCUUCCGACAUUGGCCUUUCUCCCCCAAUCGAUCUCCAUCUCUGUCUAAAUUGAACUUUGACUCAGAUACAGCGGCUUGAUCCUCGAUCACAACUCCAGAUUAGGCCUCAACAGGCACGGCAACAACAACGGUCACAACACUGGCAGCGGUAGAAACAACGGCAACAGCGGCGGCUCGGUCCUUAACUUACUGACCCAACAAGCUUCCAAGAAGCACUAGCGCCUGAACGAUCCCAUCAAAACUAGGAUCGCUCGGUAUUGUUACACUCUUAAUACCGACUUGCAGCGGUAUUCUCACACUCGCGCUGGUCUAAGCCUGCGCUCUACCUCAGGUACCGACUCCUGUCAGCAUCCUACCCCGAGGUAUAGGUCCUACCGACCUUCUCCAAGGAGUCCUCCACUCCUAGUCACUCAUCCUACAGGCUCUUUAUAGACGCCUGCUUUCCGAUUCCAACAUCAGGUUAGAAUUUGAGUGACCCCACAAACACAUUACCAAACAGCUAUCAAUCACAUGCAUCAGCAUAUUAAAAGCCUUUCCUACCAACUAUCCCAUGACUCAUCGCACCUUAUCACUCCAUACUCAAACCAUGCUCUGAUACCAAUUAAACAGGGAUGUCACGCCCCGAACCUCGAGCGCGCCAACAUCCCACCAUGGUCAUUCAAAUGCGACAUCCCAGGUUAAGUCGCCGACCCAAUCAAAUCUUUAGUGCACAUGCGGAAGCGUAUUAUAAAACCCUUGACAAUAAAAUACGGGAUAGAAAAGCAGGAAACAAUUUCAUAACCAAUCACUUACAUAAACCAACGAAGUUACAAAUGAAGGCCUACAGCCGAAAGUCUACAAAAGACCGGCUCUUAAAAAGGAAUUGUCCUACGACCUACAAGUCGGACACGUUUUCCAAUCUUAUGCCUUCACCUCUGCAACUCCUCAAGGCCAACCAAAGCUAUCUGGCCACUCCGUCCAUCAGGGACCUGAAAUUUUAAUCCCACAACCGGGAUGAGAUGAUGUCUCAGCAAGUUCAACCCCCUAAACCCCUAUUAGAAAGAAAAUACACCCCGGGUGGCCUAGCCAUGUCACUCAGAAGACUUACCUCGUCUUAAUUCCUUCCUGCAGAUUAGCACAAUUUAUAUCACACAAUCUCAGGUAGUAAUAAUAAUUCAAACAAUUGGAAAGCCAUCACUUUCAUAUAAAUCAUAAUCGCACUUAGCAUGCAUUCCAAUUAUUAUUCACUGCCACACGACGGCAUAGCCUACUCGCGGGUCGGCUAUCUACUAACAUUACGGCAUUUCUAAAAGAAUAAAGGUCCAGUCGGUCUCGCCACUACUGCGACUAAGCCACGUCGUUCUAUCGACAGCAUUUCUAGAGAAAUAAAGGUCCAGUCGGUCUCGCCACUACUGCGACCAAGCCACGUCGUUCUAUCGACAGCAUUUCUAGAAAAAUAAAGGUCCAGUCGGUCCCGCCACUACUGCGACCAAGCCACGUCAUUCUCUUGACAACAUUUUUAGAAGAAUAAGGAUCCAGUCGGCUUAGCCACUACUGCGACCCGAGCCACGUCACUCUCUUGACGGCAUUUCUAGAAGAAUAAGGAUCCAGUCGGCCUAGCCACUACUGCGACCCGAGCCACGUCACUCUCUUGACGGCAUUUCUAGAAGAAUAAGGAUCCAGUCGUCCUAGCCACUACUGCGACCCGAGUCUUUCAACCAGCACACAACAAUUCAAUAAUCAAAUGCACAAAUCAUCACUCAAUUUGUAAUAUCUAAUCAUCAAAUUCAUAAUCUGAAUACACUGCAGCGAUCAGCACAAAAUUCUGAGAAUUUAGGGUCCCAAAAUAAUUUUCGGAAUUUAUUUAAUAAUUAAGUUUAUUUCGAAAAUUAAUUAAAUAAUAAUAUCCUUAUCCUUCACAAUCCACACUCGAUUUAUAAUCUCCAAUCAUCAAUUUCAAAAUCUGACUACACAGCAGCGACAGGUACGAAAUUCUGAGCAAUCGGGGUUAAAAUUAAUUUUUUUCCGUUUUUAUUUAUUUAUAAUAAUAUUUUAAUAAUUUCGGAAUAUAAUAUAAUAUUAUAAAUUCCAGAAUUCGAAAUCAUUAAAUAAUUCAAAAAUAAAACCCCAUUAUGUCACAUCAAGGCUUUAUAUUAAAAAUAAACAUACUUAACUUUAAAUUAACCACACUUUAACUUAAUUAAACACCUUAAUCUAAUCAUCAACCAAAUAAACUAAUCUAACCACCUAAACUUACUUAACUUAGACUAAGCAUACUUAAGGCAUCAUUAACCGUCUAAUCAAGGUUUAGUGAGUUAAACUCACCGGAUUAGCGAACCGAGCGAACCAAAACGACGAGGACGACGCGAGGAUCGACUUUCCUCAAGGCGGGCCGAGCAUCCGGGCUCGGGAAGGCAGCCACAACGGGCCAAACGUCCACUGCAUACCCAUUUUUUUCCAGCUGCU